CCCCCGCCCUCGUGCGAAUAUGCCAUCAGCCCGACCCAAAAAGGAUCCUUUUGGAAUCAGCAUCCUCCGAUCCUUCCCCCGUCCUCGAGCCGCGACCUCUUCCUUCCUUCCUUCCCCUCUACUUAUAUAGCUCGAAGCGAUCCCAUUCCGGUGGGAAGGACCGGGCCGGGAGAGGGACUUCCGGCCGGUUCGCAGUGCUCCCAAGCAAACAGUCAACUGAAGUGAGCUAGAAUUUCAUGGGUCUCAUGGAUAGAGCAGGUCCUUCUAGAGUCCUAGAGGGGAUUCAUGGGGUGCAACUGGUAGGCCAACCAACAUACAGAGAUGAAACACUUCAUUGUGGGGAUUUUGUUCUUGAAACUUGUGAUGGUCCACAGGUUGUUGGAACCAGCCAGGGGUUGCUAAUCCGACAAAUGUUGCAUCAGAGACCAGCAUGCUUUAGGCCCAUUCGCUGUAGACUUCAAGGUGAUCAGAACAUUACAGAAACCAUCGCUAAUGUCCUGACCUCACUGCCUUUUAUUUUUCUUGGAUUUCGAGCACCAAGGAAGAAUUUGAACACAUCGCUCUACGCUAAUUCGUUAAUUGGAGUUGGGAUUGCCUCAAGCUUAUACCAUUCUUCAAGAGGGGAAGUCAGAAAAAUUCUUAGAUGGGCAGACUACACAAUGAUUGCUGCAACUACAGUUUGUCUAUCAAGGGCACUCAGAGAUGAGAACCCAAAACUGUUAACAGCGGCAUCAACAUUGCUUUUGCCAUUCCAGCCUUUUAUGGUUUCAGCUGUCCAUACUGGAUUGAUGGAGGUUGCAUUUGCUAGAAGAGCAUUAACAAAACCAGAGCUCAGGAUGGCACAUAAUCUGCAUACAGUGUCAUCUAUAUUAGGCGGCGCACUUUUUAUUGCUGAUGAUUGCUUUCCCGAGACUCCUUUUAUUCAUGCAGCCUGGCACCUUGCUGCAGCAGUUGGUGUAGGGACAUGUAAUAAGCUUCUUGAAUGAUGUUAUGAGCAUCCUCACCUGCAAUCCUCUUUCUUUGAUGAACUCUAUGCAAGAGCAGGCCAUUAUCAUCAAUCCGUUGAUAUGUCAAUGUAUAGGAAGACUGUCACCCACACAAAAUGAAAACAAGCAACUGACUCUUCCUAGGGAUUAUCACAGUCUCACCAUGGGUGAAGACCUCAAUGGACCAAUUGUGUCAAAUUGACAGACUAAAAAGUGCAGAAGAACACCUCAAGCUCUCAAAACAGGCUGUCAGAGUCUGCUGCAACGGCUUAUCAUCUUAACAAGACUGAUUAGAGGAAAAGAGGGAAAGGGAAGAGGUCCAACAUCUGUAUGAACUCCUGAAUGAAGGCUCCAACAAACUCAGAGACACCUAAGACAAAAGGACAACCGACAAAAGGACAGCCAACAAAGGAAAGAAACAAGGGCAUAAAGAAUGAAAAGAAGAAAUAAGAAACUAAGGGAUGUGGAGAAGAUAUGAAGGCCAUUAAAAAACACCCAUGGUCCAGGUCUAUAGGUUCAUUUCUUCCUCCCUUUUGCUUUCUAGUCUUUCAGGUUUGCCAAUAUGUUGUGUUUUCUUUUUCUUUUUUUUUCCAUAUAAGGAGGAGAAGAAGAAUAAGGGGACCUAAAGGGGAAUUACUUCGUUAUUCAAGAGCCCAACUGUACGAAUCCAGAAUUUUUUCUUUUAUCUAUGAUUAACUUCUUCUUUCCUUUUUUUGGUUAUUUUUUUCUUUUUUUAAAAAAAUUUGUAUCACAUGAAGAAGGAGAAGAAGAAGAAAAUACUGAACAAGGAGACAGCCAGGUAUGCAUAUAUAUUUCUUUCUAAUUCCUCUUUUUUUAAAAACUUUUCAGGCUUUCUAAUAUCUGAUUUCUGAUUUGAAUCUUGUUUUACAAUAAGAGCCAGAAGAACAAAGAAGAGAACCAGAAGAAGCAGGAA